rnacentral:rRNA from 1 species
GACGAACGCUGGCGGCGUGCUUAACACAUGCAAGUCGAACGGAAAGGCCCUGCUUUUGUGGGGUGCUCGAUUGGCGAACGGGUGAGUAACACGUGAGUAACCUGCCCCUGACUUUGUGAUAACUUCAGGAAACUGGGGCUAAUACCGGAUAGGAGCUCCUGCUGCAUGGUGGGGGUUGGAAAGUUUCGGCGGUUGGGGAUGGACUGGCGGCUUAUCAGCUUGUUGGUGGAGUAGUGGCUUACCAAGGCUUUGACGGGUAGCCGGCCUGAGAGGUUGACCGGCCACAUUGGGACUGAGAUACGCAGCAGACUCCUACGGGAGGCAGCAGGCGAGAAUAUUGCACAAUGGCGGGAAGCCUGAUGCAGCAACGCCCCGUUCGUGAUGACGUCCUUCGGGUUGUAAACCGCUUUGUCAGGUGACGAAGCGUGAGUGACGGUAAUGGGUAAAGAAGCACCGGCUAACUACGUG